GCCAGGCAUGGUGGCGGGUGCCUGUAAUCCCAGCUACUCAGGAGGCUGAGGCAGGAGAAUCUCUUGAACCCAGGAGGCAGAGAUUGCAGUGAGCCAAGAUCAUGCCAUUGCACUCUAGCCUGGGUGACAGAGCGAGACUCUGUCUCAA
ensembl:misc_RNA Metazoa_SRP Metazoan signal recognition particle RNA